GACGAACGCUGGCGGCGUGCUUAACACAUGCAAGUCGAACGGAAAGGCCCUGCUUGCAGGGUAUUCGAGUGGCGAACGGGUGAGUAACACGUGGGUGAUCUGCCCUGCACUUCGGGAUAAGCCUGGGAAACUGGGUCUAAUACCGGAUAGGAGCCAUUUUUAGUGUGAUGGUUGGAAAGUUUUUUCGGUGUAGGAUGAGCUCGCGGCCCAUCAGCUUGUUGGUGGGGUAAUGGCCUACCAAGGCGGCGACGGGUAGCCGGCCUGAGAGGGUGGACGGCCACAUUGGGACUGAGAUACGGCCCAGACUCCUACGGGAGGCAGCAGUGGGGAAUAUUGCACAAUGGGCGCAAGCCUGAUGCAGCGACGCCGCGUGGGGGAUGACGGCCUUCGGGUUGUAAACUCCUUUCGCUAGGGACGAAGCUUUUUGUGACGGUACCUAGAUAAGAAGCACCGGCUAACUACGUG
rnacentral:rRNA from 1 species